AGGAGGAUACGUUUCGCAUCGAAAGUGAAAGUAAAGAUGUGAUUUACUAAAGGAGAACUCUUAGGCGCGUCAGUGAGGCGGACAGACGCGCGGGCUGCAGCUCAGCAGGCUCCCCUGGAUUCUUCUAUGAAACGUGACUGUUUGAUGGGAAAGUCUGGAAGCAGAGAAACUUUAGAAAUCUGUAUCUGUGAGUAAACCUGGAUUGUCACGGUAACAGAAUGGCUUCCCGCUGCCUUCUCUUGUUCUUUGUUUUUUUAAGUCUCACCAGCCUGUCAGAUGAGGAGUGUCAUGAUCAUUUCUCCAUAGAACACUGGAACGGCACAGACAUGACUGAUCUGAUUACCCUAGUAAAUGCCACCAGCACCGAGAAAAUCCUAAAUUGCACUGUAUGGAAAAAC